rnacentral:rRNA from 1 species
CCUGCACUCUGGGAUAAGCCUUGGAAACGAGGUCUAAUACCGGAUAUCACUUCUUUUCGCAUGGAGAGAAGUUGAAAGUUCUGGCGGUGCAGGAUGAACCCGCGGCCUAUCAGCUUGUUGGUGGGGUAGUGGCCUACCAAGGCGACGACGGGUAGCCGGCCUGAGAGGGUGACCGGCCACACUGGGACUGAGACACGGCCCAGACUCCUACGGGAGGCAGCAGUGGGGAAUAUUGCACAAUGGGCGAAAGCCUGAUGCAGCGACGCCGCGUGAGGGAUGACGGCCUUCGGGUUGUAAACCUCUUUCGCCAGGGACGAAGCGCAAGUGACGGUACCUGGAUAAGAAGCACCGGCUAACUACGUGCCAGCAGCCGCGGUAAUACGUAGGGUGCGAGCGUUGUCCGGAUUUAUUGGGCGUAAAGAGCUCGUAGGCGGUUUGUCGCGUCGGCCGUGAAAUCUCCACGCUUAACGUGGAGCGUGCGGUCGAUACGGGCAGACUUGAGUUCGGUAGGGGAGACUGGAAUUCCUGGUGUAGCGGUGAAAUGCGCAGAUAUCAGGAGGAACACCGGUGGCGAAGGCGGGUCUCUGGGCCGAUACUGACGCUGAGGAGCGAAAGCGUGGGGAGCGAACAGGAUUAGAUACCCUGGUAGUCCACGCUGUAAACGUUGGGCGCUAGGUGUGGGCGACAUCCACGUUGUCCGUGCCGUAGCUAACGCAUUAAGCGCCCCGCCUGGGGAGUACGGCCGCAAGGCUAAAACUCAAAGGAAUUGACGGGGGCC